GAAAAGGAAGUGUUUCUAUAGAGCUGAAUUAGAUACGAAAAUAAUAGAAUUCAGGACAUUACACAUAUAAAUCUUAUACAACGAACAGGAAUUUAACAUUUCACACGGAAAAGUAUUUGGAGCCAACGUACAAAACAAAUUGUCGAUCCACACGUAGAGAGUAUAUAGAGGAAGGAAGAAAGGAAGAGGAAUUAAGAAUUUAAAGCUUUGAUCGGCUGAAAAAUUAAAGGUCGAUUAACAAGGAAGUUUCUUUGUUCGAUCCGAACACCGAUUUUAAGCAAAUUCCGGGGUUGGAGUUUUUCACCGGCAAGAGCAAGUUCGAUGUGGACGACAAAUUUAAGAAGAAGAAAAUGUCGAAGUUCGCCUCCAAAUAUCUCGUUUGGCAGGCCAUCUGCUCUUGCGAACUG